CAGCAGCCACGGUAAUACGAAGGGGGCUAGCGUUGCUCGGAAUUACUGGGCGUAAAGGGCGCGUAGGCGGAUGUUUAAGUCAGAGGUGAAAGCCCAGGGCUCAACCUUGGAAAUGCCUUUGAUACUGAACAUCUUGAGUAUGGGAGAGGUGAGUGGAACUCCGAGUGUAGAGGUGAAAUUCGUAGAUAUUCGGAAGAACACCAUUGGCGAAGGCGACUCACUGGCCCAUUACUGACGCUGAGGCGCGAAAGCGUGGGGAGCAAACAGGAUUAGAUACCCAGUAGUCCCUGUCUCUUAUACA
rnacentral:rRNA from 1 species